AGUCCUGCCUCAGAGAAACAUAAGAUCUAAAGAGGAAAAUCUACACAAGAUUGUGUGUGGGCCAGAAAGGCCGCCGUGAAUGGUGAGAAGGUGAGUCAAUCCAUCCAUCCUAAGUCAAAGAAUCCAACCAGUUCCAUGGAGGAGGCACAGAGGAAAAGAGGAAGGAACAAAGUGGAAGAAGAAGAGAAUGAAGAGGUGGGAAGAGAUGGGCAAGGAUGGGAGAGCAGAAGCCAAUCAAGAGAAGAAGGAAAAGCAAACAGAAGAGAGUAGAAAGGAAUGGGGGCCAGAAACAAGCAGGAAUCAUGAAGAGUGGGGAAAGGAGAGACUUUGGAAAUUCAAACAAGUAGAGGAGUGAAAAAAAUAGUGAUGAAAGGUAAGAAAGGUAAGGUAGGAGAUGUGUGAAAUUGCAAUAAGAAAAAUGGCAGUGUUUAUGCGUGAUCAUUGAGUCUUACUUGCAUU
rnacentral:lncRNA from 1 species